rnacentral:tRNA from 1 species
AGAGGUGUGGCUCAGUGGCAGAGCACCUGCCUGGCAUGCAGGAGACUGUAGGUCCCACCCCCA